UACGGAGGGGGCGAGCGUUACCCGGAUUUACUGGGUGUAAAGGGCGUGUAGGCGGUCUUUCAAGUCCGAUGCUAAAGACCGAAGCUCAACUUCGGGGGUGCGUUGGAUACUGUGAGGCUAGACGGUCGGAGAGGGUAGCGGAAUUUCCGGAGUAGCGGUGAAAUGCGCAGAUACCGGAAGGAACGCCGAUAGCGAAAGCAGCUACCUGGACGAUUUGUGACGCUGGGGCGCGAAAGCGUGGGGAGCAAGCCGG
rnacentral:rRNA from 1 species